rnacentral:tRNA from 1 species
AGGGGGAUGCCAGAAUAUAUGGGUUAGGUUUAGGUCCUUUUUAUGGGUUUACGGCCCUUCCUCUG